UGAAAAGCAAAUAAGCAUCUAACGCAGCGAAAUCGAAUGGUGCAAUAAAAUUAAAAAAUUUCACACACAUACAAGAUCAACACCCAGAAUCAAAUCCCGAGUGCGUAUUAUCACUUUGGUACGAUUAAACAACGCUGCCUUAUCAGUUCUACGAGGAUGUUCUUCUCGAUUUUACCUUUUAAAGCGAAGUCCCCGUAGAGAUUGAUGUGUCCUUGAUCUCGAACGUUGAGCCGUCCAAGAGUCGGACCCCUAGUUCAUCUAGGGAUUGAGCCAUGAUUUUCCUUUCUAAGGGGGACAAAAAUAUGACUUGACAUAGAUAGUGCGAAAAUUCUUUUUUUAGGAGGGGUAAAAUAUUAAUUUUACUUGAGUAAAACCUUGAAUUAAUAUAAAUCUGGGGGCAAAAUUUUUAAAACCUCAAACUUCAGGGGGGCAAUUAUGCCCCUUGGAGCCCAUAUGGCUCCGCCACUGAGUUCAUCCACGUCAAGGGGCACCUCUCCUCGUUCCGAACUCAUCCACACAGGCUGCCCUCACAAUCGGACAAUACUCUCAAACGAAAUUCGGUGCGGUCAGUGGCCUCAAGGUGCUCUCGGUCGCCUACAAGAGGCUCGACUCUCCUCCGAUAGCGGCUGGAAGUGGCGACGUGCUGUUGCUGGUUGGGCCGUGCGCCUCUUCUCCUCUCUUCCUCUCACACAGGCAUAUCUCGUGAUCUUAGAUAUUUCCAUAGUCAUCAGUAUCCCAAAAGAAAAAGACCGAAAUGCACUUGAUGUAAGUUUUUAUAUCUAGACUUUUUAUAUAUAGUAAGUUUCAGAAUAAGGAAACUUCCAUUUAUCUCUCAUAUAAACAUUCCUUAUAAGGAUCCACCAGUGUUGUAUCAGACUUUGGGAUGUACUAGCAACCCUGCAAUAAAAUUGUAAGUCUACUACGGUAA